UCUCUUAUAUAUCUAUGUCGAUCCUGGCUUUGGCCUAUUAUCCUUACUACCACAGCAAGUUUGCUAGCAAGAAUUUUCUUACAAGAAAUGGCAGGAAGUUCUAUGAGGGCUGCUCUGGUGACUCUGUUCAUCUUCGCAAUGGUUCUGUCUCCGAUUACAACCUCCGAGGCUGCUCGGUUCACGUUUCUAGAUACAACUCCCAUAUGUCCUGCUUGUGUUUGCUGCGCACCUCCACCGCCGGGCUCUUGCUGCGAUUGUUGUGCCUCACCGAUUGAAACUCAGUCCGAGCAAGGGUCUCCAUAGGACAGCAAAUAUGUUUGUCAUGAAGAAGAGUACACGUAUAUGUAAUUAUCUAUAAAUAAUGGGGUUCACGGUGUCAGAGAAAAAGAACCAUCAUUUGUAUGUAGAAAGUGAUGACAUGGUUGUUUCAUAAUGAAGCAAUAAGAUUAAUUAAGAUUGUAUAAGGAUUAUUGUAUCCUUACACAUGUAUACUUCAAACAUAUAUUUCUCUUUAUACAGUAGACAUAUUACAAAUUAGUGAG